AUUAUAAAGCGAAACUGCGAAUGGCUCAUUAAAUCAGUUAUCGAUUUUAUUUGAUAGUACCUUACUACUUGGGAAUAACGCGUGGUAAUUCUCUAGAGCUAAUACAUGCUUAAGAUCCCGACUCACGAAGGGAUGUAUUUAUUAGAUUAAAAACCAAUGCCCUUCGGGGCUCCUUGGUGAUUCAUAAUAACUUCACUGAAUCGCAUGGCCUUGCGCCGGCGAUGGUUCAUUCAAAUUUCUGCCCAUAUCAACUUUCGAUGGCAGGGUAAUGGACCCACACAUGGUUGCAACCGGGUAACGGGAGAGUUAGGGCUCGACCCCGGAGAGGAGCCUGAGAAACGGCUACUACAUCCAAGGAAGGCAGCAGGCGCGCAAAUUACCCAAUCCCGACACGGGGAGGUAGUGACAAUAAAUACUGAUACAGGGUCUCUUUUGGGUCUUGUAAUUGGAAUGAGUACAAUCUAAAUCCCUUAACGAGGACACAAUUGGAGGGCAAGUCUGGUGCCAGCAGCCGCGGUAAUUCCAGCUCCAAUAGCGUAUAUUAAAGUUGUUGCAGUUAAAAAGCUCGUAGUUGAACCUUGGGCCUGGCUGGCCGGUCCGCCUCACCGCGUGCACUGGUCCGGCCGGGCCUUUCCCUCUGUGGAACCGCAUGCCCUUCACUGGGUGUGUCGGGGAACCAGGACUUUUACUUUGAAAAAAUUAGAGUGCUCAAAGCAGGCCUAUGCUGGAAUACAUUAGCAUGGAAUAAUAGAAUAGGACGUGCGGUUCUAUUUUGUUGGUUUCUAGGACCGCCGUAAUGAUUAAUAGGGACAGUCGGGGGCAUCAGUAUUCAAUUGUCAGAGGUGAAAUUCUUGGAUUUAUUGAAGACUAACUACUGCGAAAGCAUUUGCCAAGGAUGUUUUCAUUAAUCAGGAACGAAAGUUAGGGGAUCGAAGACGAUCAGAUACCGUCGUAGUCUUAACCAUAAACUAUGCCGACUAGGGAUCGGGCGGAAUGUUAUUAUUUGACCUUUCGUUCGGCACCUUACGAGAAAUCAAAGUCUUUGGG
rnacentral:rRNA from 1 species